UAGUCCUUAGAGGUCAACACAAUCAGUUUCUUCUUUUUUGAAUUUUUUGGUAAUUCAUGCCAUGCUUCUAACUGUUGAUACUAUUUUGUUUGAUCAACCUCAGACAGUACCUAUUAACUCCCUCCUCUGAAAGGUUUUUAUAACUUUUGUUUACUUAACUCUCUUUCCUAAUUCUUCUAUUAUUUCUUUGAUUGUAUAAUAGUAUUCUGCUUUUUUAUCGAUGAUUUUUUUAUCUCCUGAGCCUUCCAAUAUUCUCAUUCAUGUCAUUUAACUUUUCUCUCAUUGUUUCUAUUCCUAUGAGUCUUUGUACUGCCCUCUGGGACAAUCUUCUGGCUCUGUCUUCCAAUUCAUUAAUUCAGUCUUUAGCCUCAUCUGCUAUUUCUAUUUAUACAGUUUAGUGGCUUUUAAAUUUUUGAUAAUCAUAAUUUAGAUUUCUCAAUUUUCUCAUUGACACUUUUUUCUAAUUACCUGUAGUGGGCACUGUGUGCAUACCCCCACACUCCAGGACCAAGGUGCUCCAGUUGUCCAAUCACACAACUGAUGGCUGAUGCCUGAAUACAGCUUCAGAGCUCUCCAUGAAGUUGUCUGAGGCCUCUGUUUAGACUACAUUGCAUCAUCUCAACUUCUUCCUCUGCUCAGCCCUGCUUACCUCAAGUAUGGAUCUCAAGCAUACUCCAAAGUCACCCUCCAGUAUGCUAACCUCAGUCUCAGAGUAUGUGUCCUGGACAACCUGACCUAAGACAUCAGUUGCUUUUGUUUUAUGGAUAUAAUACCCUCUCUCAUUGCUGUAAAGAUAUUAAUAUUUCUUUCUAAUUCUUUUUUAAAAUUUACUCUAUUAUCUCUACUUCCCUAGGUUAUAGUUACUCAGUUUAAGUUGGAUGUCACCUUGAUUGCAUGCUGAACUUUGCUAAUGUGAUUCUCUGUUCAUCUGCCAGCUGUUUAUAUUUUCUGUAGCUUGCAACUGGUGAUCCUGGAGGAGAAUAAAUGGGCUGCCAGGUGGAGAUGCUGGUAGUGUGUGGUAAUACCCUCCCUCCAAGAGAUGAGAGGAUACCUGGAGCCCCUCCUUUUCCCCUCAGGGAGAUGAGAGGAUACCUAGAGCCCCUCCUUUUCCCCUCAGGGAGAUGAGAGGAUACCUGGAGCCCCUCCUUUUCCCCUCUGGGAGAUGAGAGGAUACCUGGAGCCCCUCCUUUUCCCCUCCGGGAGAUGAGAGGAUACCUAGAGCCCCUCCUUUUCCCCUCCGGGAGAUGAGAGGGUACCUGGAGCCCCUCCUUUCAACCCAGUUGCUCACAUUCACUGCUCUAUGGGGAAGGAAGGACUCAACUCAUGUUUCCAGUCCUACUGUCUUCAUUGUUUUUGCUCCAGUUUCUCCUUAUAUAUGACUCAGGUAUUAUGAAUCAAACUGCUAUAAGUGCCCAUGUCAUUUGUAUGUGGAAAUACACUUUCAUUUAUCUUGGGUAAAUGUCCUUUUCAUUGAUUGUGGUGAUGAUUCUGUGGGUGUCUCAAUUUGU